CCACGGGGACAAUGAAGUAUUUAGGUACGUAAAGUUCUUUUAUUAAAGAAGAAAAAAUGAUGGAAAAAUCAUUCUGACGGUAUUUAAUGAAUAAGCCCCGGCUAACUAUGUGCCAGCAGCUGCGGUAAUACAUGGGGGGCAAGCGUUAUCCGGAUUUAUUGGGCGUAAAGGGUGCGUAGGCGGUUAAAUAAGUCUAUGGUAUAAGUUCAACGCUUAACGUUGUGAUGCUAUAGAAACUGUUUGACUAGAGUUGGAUAGAGGCAAGUGGAAUUCCAUGUGUAGCGGUAAAAUGCGUAAAUAUAUGGAGGAACACCAGUAGCGAAGGCGGCUUGCUGGGUCUUAACUGACGCUGAGGCACGAAAGCGUGGGGAGCAAACAGGAUUAGAUACCCUGGUAGUCCACGCCGUAAACGAUGAGUACUAAGUGUUGGGUUAAACCAGUGCUGAAGUUAACACAUUAAGUACUCCGCCUGAGUAGUACGUACGCAAGUAUGAAACUUAAAGGAAUUGACGGGACUCCGCACAAGCGGUGGAUCAUGUUGUUUAAUUCGAAGAUACACGAAAAACCUUACCAGGUCUUGACAUACUCUGCAAAGCUAUAGAAAUAUAGUGGAGGUUAUCAGGGAUACAGGUGGUGCAUGGUUGUCGUCAGCUCGUGUCGUGAGAUGUUGGGUUAAGUCCCGCAACGAGCGCAACCCUUAUCACUAGUUACCAUCAUUUAGUUGGGCACUUUAGUGAGACUGCCAAUGAUAAAUUGGAGGAAGGUGGGGAUUACGUCAAAUCAUCAUGCCCCUUAUGACCUGGGCUACAAACGUGAUACAAUGGCUGUUACUGAAAAACUGAAAAAAGG
rnacentral:rRNA from 1 species